rnacentral:lncRNA from 1 species
GUAUCAAUUAUGCCAGCCUCACUGAACAGUUUAGAAAACAUCUCGACAGAGAAUGAAGGACCGGAUUCCGCUUUCCGGUGACCUUCCUGCAGAAACGACCGGCAGGGGAGGGUACAGGCGCAUUAGAGGCGAUUGAGCGGGGUCUGCAGGUGACCGAUCACGGCUGGUGAUACGGUGACGAUUUAAGAGGCGAAUCCGUCGGUUAGGGUUCCGACGAAGCUCAGGGGAAAUAUAACGAGAAGAUAGAGAAGAGGCGUCGCAGGAACCUGAACCGACGCACUUACAGAGGCUUGCCUAGGGUUUCGAAAUUGAUAAAAUCAGACGUUAAUAUUCAAAUUCUUUGGUUCCUUGGUUUAUUGAUUUUCUUCGUUAUGACGAUUUGGCGACAAUUGAAGCGUUAGGAAGGUUGGCGGUGGGUGACGGAGAAGUUUAACUUGACAACUAUCAGGUCUUAGUGUAUCACUUCUUUACAGAGGUUUAAUAAGGUGAAAGCAGUUUGUGUGUGAGGAGAUUCCAAGCCAACUGGAUGGGGUUCGAGUUUUGCUUUAAUUGAAUGGCAAUUCAUUUUCUAAUGGACCACUCUUGGAGAUUACGUCAAAGCCAUAGUUCAGUUCUAUUUUGAGGUUUACUCAAGUUCAAAUCUGGACUCUAGCGAAAAUGGUGCCAUGAAAGUAUUUUAUGGACUUGACGAUACAGAACUUUCAUUCUAAUUUGGGUUGGAAAUACCAUUGUCAUCUCUGGUCUGUCUCUUUUUGAGAGAAGAUGUGAUCAUUGUAAUAUCUUCAUUUUGAGACAUACUUACAAGUCUUUUAUAUCUUUCAAUUUUUGAGUUAAUUCUUAGUUUUCCAUGAAAUCUUGAGAGUGAAAUAGAAAAACUUGCUACGGAAGAAGCGGGUUUCAGGGACUGUGUGAGUGUGUCCGAUUCUGCUCAUCAAAAAGAUUCUUCUAUGGGAUAUUAUUGCACUAUGUAUGUUACUAUAUCAGACAUUCCGGAUUGCUUUUUUCUUUUUUUUUUUGUAAUAAAUCGUAUCGUAACAUGUAGUUUGUAACAGCCCGGCCAGAUUGCAGGUUGCAUU